ACUCAGUGGCGGACGGGUGAGUAACGCGUGAGUAACCUGCCUUUCAGAGGGGGAUAACGUUCUGAAAAGAACGCUAAUACCGCAUAAGAUUGUAGUUUCGCAUGGAGCAGCAAUCAAAGGAGCAAUCCGCUGAAAGAUGGACUCGCGUCCGAUUAGAUAGUUGGCGGGGUAACGGCCCACCAAGUCGACGAUCGGUAGCCGGACUGAGAGGUUGAUCGGCCACAUUGGGACUGAGACACGGCCCAGACUCC
rnacentral:rRNA from 1 species